AACCGCAGCAUUCUAAUUGUUUGUGUGGGUGGCCUCAGUUCACAUGGUUGACCACAAGGUGGUGGCCAUCUUCUUCCCAUGAACGCAGGUAGCGGUGUUUGGUCGUCGAGUUCAUGUUUUCGGACACUGAAACUCUCGAACACUGCUGGACUUCCAUUAUAGCCUACAUUUGGUACUUUACAUCCUCGAAGAGCACUGUUCGGUGGAAUAGUUUGUCUGAAUGAGGUGAAUAAGCUCCACAGUAUGAAUAUUGACCACGUUCUGUAUUUUGUUCGUUUGGAAACUACCGAACUACACCGACCGCAAGCCCUGAUUAUCU